rnacentral:rRNA from 1 species
UUCGGAUGUGUAUAAAGUGGCGAACGGGUGAGUAGCACGUGGGCAACCUGCCCUUUGCACUGGGAUAGCCUCGGGAAACCGAGGUUAAUACCGGAUACUCCAUAUUUGUCGCAUGGCGAAUAUGGGAAAGCUCCGGCGGCAAAGGAUGGGCCCGCGGCCUGUUAGCUAGUUGGUGGGGUAGUGGCCUACCAAGGCAAUGAUGGGUAGCCGGGUUGAGAGACCGACCGGCCAGAUUGGGACUGAGACACGGCCCAGACUCCUACGGGAGGCAGCAGUGGGGAAUCUUGCACAAUGGGCGAAAGCCUGAUGCAGCGACGCCGCGUGCGGGAUGAAGGCCUUCGGGUUGUAAACCGCUUUCAGCAGGGACGAGGCCGCAAGGUGACGGUACCUGCAGAAGAAGCCCCGGCUAACUACGUGCCAGCAGCCGCGGUAAUACGUAGGGGGCAAGCGUUAUCCGGAUUCAUUGGGCGUAAAGCGCGCGUAGGCGGUCUGUUAGGUCAGGAGUUAAAUCUGGGGGCUCAACCCCUAUCCGCUCCUGAUACCGGCAGGCUUGAGUCUGGUAGGGGAAGAUGGAAUUCCAAGUGUAGCGGUGAAAUGCGCAGAUAUUUGGAAGAACACCGGUGGCGAAGGCGGUCUUCUGGGCCAUGACUGACGCUGAGGCGCGAAAGCUAGGGGAGCGAACAGGAUUAGAUACCCUGGUAGUCCUAGCUGUAAACGAUGGACACUAGGUGUGGGGAGAUUAUACUUUCCGUGCCGCAGCUAACGCAUUAAGUGUCCCGCCUGGGGAGUACG